rnacentral:rRNA from 1 species
CACCAGCGCCACAAGUGGCAAUCACGUUUAUUAGGCCUAAAGCGUCCGUAGCCGGUUUGGUAAAUCUUUUGUGAAAGCGUCAGGCUCAACUUGACGACUGGCAGAAGACACUGCCAAACUCGAGACCGGGAGGAGUCAGAAGUAUUCAAGGGGGACCGGUAAAAUGGUAUAAUCCCUUGAGGACUACCGAUGGCGAAGGCAUCUGACCAGAACGGAUCUGACGGUGAGGGACGAAAGCCAGGGGAGCAAACCGGAUUAGAUACCCGAGUAGUCCUGGCCGUAAACGCUGCGAGCAAGGUGUUGCAUAAACUACGGGUUUAUGCAGUGUCGAAAGGAAGCUGUUAAGCUCGCCGCCUGGGAAGUACGGUCGCAAGGCUGAAACUUUAAGGAAUUGACGGGGGAGCACCACAAGGGGUGCAGCGUGCGGUUUAAUCUAACUCAACGCAGAGAACCUCACUAGGGGCGACGGCACUAUGAAGAUCAGUCUGAAGGGCUUAUCUGAGGAGCCGAGAGGUAGUGCAUGGCCGUCGUCAGCUCGUGCUGUAAAGUGUCCUCUUAAGUGAGGCAACGAGCGAGACCUGUAUCUACAAUUGCUAACGACAGUUUACUGGAUUGAGCACAUUGUAGAGACUGCCCUGGAAACAGGGAGGAAGGUGCAGGCUACGGUAGGUCUGUAUGCUCCGAAUCUCCUAGGCUACACGCGCGCAACAAUGGUAGGGACAAUGGGAUGCAACUCCGAAAGGAGAAGCUAAACCUCUAAACCCUAUCUCAGUUCAGAUUGAGGAUUGCAACUCAUCCUCAUGACGACGGAAUCCCUAGUAAUCAGAGUUCAUCAUACUCUGGUGAAUAUGUCCCUGCUCCU